ensembl:lncRNA
CGCCGCCCGCCCCCCUCCCUGGCUCCCCCAACGGAUUCCGAGCGUUACGAAGGCUCCGCCCGGCCUCGUGCAAGUCCCUGUCUCUCCCUCCCCUUUCCCAGGAUCCCCCAAGACAGCCCUAAACGCUCUUCAGCCCUGACACCCGUUUCCAAACUCCUAAGACUCAGGAACCCGCUGGAGUCUCCUCUAACCCCUCCUGGCUCAACCCAGCUCCCCCGGCGUCCCUCCACCGUGGGCUCAAGCCAAAGCUUGCACCUAGGGGCGCGCCUCAGCCCAGCCUUGCUUAGGCCCCGCCUUUCAGGGAGUGGGAGCGCUUCCCCCUGGAUGGCCAAGAGUUAACUUUGCCUCCUCUCAAUCCCAAGAAAGAGUCUUGCCUUCGACCCGCUGCCCUUACCUAGUCCCCGAAAUACUGACUUCCUGCGGCUUCAGAGCCCCCUCCCUAUCCACCUGCUAGAAGCUCACCAUUCCAUUCCUUCUCCCUCUGAAGGGGCCCUACCUGACCCCUCCACGAGCUGGUGGCCAGAGAGGCUUGGACCUCCACCCUCUGAAAAAGCCCCUGGCCACCCCAGCUCCAGCCUGCUUCUCGGGGCCCUAGCUGCCGGCCAGCAAGGCAGCUCACUCACUCACUCACUCACUCACUCACUUUUGGAUUCCUGCUCCUAGCUUGCAGGCUCUACUUGGCUGCUUCCUCUCUCUAUGUGAAAUUCCUGAAAAGGGUGUGAGGUAGAGAGACCUACUACUCUGUGGGCCCUUGGCUCCCCCAGCUACUAGGUCCUCUGCCCAGUGUCCAGAGGAUGGGGUCGCUGCCCAAUUCUUCAACCCAGGUCCUUCCAGACUCCAGGCAAGCUGUACCCCCAGGUCCUCCAAGGGCGCCCCCUUUGGCUUGGGGCUGAUUCUGUCUCCACCCACAUACAGGGGACCCUCCAGGAAGCCACUGCUCUGCAAGCAUCCAGAGCUUGUGCAUCCCAUUCCCCAUUCCCUUUUUUCCCCCUUCAUCUUGGCAUUUUCUAUUCUUUCAUCUUUCCAUUCAUUUCCUUCUUCCUCAUCUCGACUUUAAUCUUAUAAAUGUUUCCUCCCUAUAAUUUGUGAGCCAUUUCCCGUCUCUGUCUAGCUUGGCCAUCUGCACCCUUUGUGUCAUCUCUGUACAUUCACUGUUCUCUUCUUAACUCUUCCCUCUUCUGCCUCUUUUCCUUUGUCGAUAACCCUUCACAUGAAUUGCUCUGCCCCUUUCCCAUCACGUUGUUUUUACCCUUUUUUAUGACUGGAUAAAGGCAAAGGAGUGAAAAUAACGGAAGGAAA